CACUUUAAUGGCUACGUGCAACCCUAUCUUCUUUUCUUCUCGUAUAAGUUCUCCCCGAUUAAGACCUUCCUUGUCCUCAAGGAAGGAAUGUGGGAAAACAAAUCUUUAGAGCUUGAUAGCCUUCCCAAGUUGCGAGAUCUGAUGAUAACUUGUCCCAUCGAAUCUUUAGAGCAAUUGCCUUGUUCCCCUUUUGAAUCAUAGGUCUAUCCAAAAUUUUGUGUGCUGAGGGUAGUAAGGACUUGGUAGUUCUAGCACUGGUGGAUGAGAGAUGGUAUCUAGUAACUCGUAACAUCGCUUGAGCUGAGACACGUGAAAGGUAGGGUGCAACAAUAACUUUGGAUGAAGUGAGAGCUUGUAUGCUACGUGCUCUACCUUUUGCAACACUUGGUAAGGCCCACAAUACUUUGCUGAUAGCUUGGUAAAGUGUGACCCAAACAUGGUUAUUUGCAUGUAAGACUGAAUUUUUAAUUAUACCCAAUCCCGUUAUUGAAAUUUCCUGUCUGAUCUAUGUUUGUUAGCUUGCUCAGUCAUCCUCUGCUGAGUCCUUUGUAAAUGGUACUUCAACAAUUGUAACUCAAAUUCCCUUGUGAGCAGGCUCCUAUCAAAUUCCACUGAGUCAGAAUCACCAGCCAUAUAUAGAAGAUGCAAAGGUGGAGGUUGCCCAUAUAGUGUCUCACAGGGAAUACAUUAUAUUGAAGAGUGAAAUGUGGUGUUAUACUACCAUUGUGUUCAGGUCGAGGCUUUUCUUUUAAGAUCUGGGCAUUCAACUUGUAUAUGAUCAUAUUUUUCACUUUCAUAGCAUUUCCCCAUCGUUCUUUUCUUGUUCGUUGUAUUGUCUUGAUGUUCUUCUGGAGGACAUUCUCUACUUUUUGGUAUUCUCUGUAUCUUUUUGGAAACUAUAGCUAUUUCUUAUUCAAGUUACUCAGCUUCAUUUUUAUUUUCAUCUUCAGAUCCUUCAAUCGAGGUUUUAAAAGUAACAAUUUUCUUCUUUUCUUUCUGUCCUCGUUUUUUGAGAUGUGUUUUCUCAAAGGCAAUAAGAUCUCCUCGUAGUUCAUCAUAUGAUAGUUUGUCUAGAUCUUGAGAUUCAAGAGCUACUACUUUUAUUUGCCAAGUAGUAGGUAGACUUCUUAGAAUUUUUCGAACUUGCUCACCACUUGAAUAUGGUCUUUCAAAGGCCUUUAGAUCUCCAAUAAUUUUGCUGAAUCUAGCAAAUAUUUCCUCAAUGGAUUCACCUUCUUUCAUUUAAAAAAGUUCAUAGUCAUGGGUCAGCAGAUUUAUCCUUUUUUCCUUAACUUUGUUUGUCCCUUGAUAUGUGACUUCCAACUUAUCCUGCAUUUCUUUAGUAGUAUCACAGCUUUAGAUCUUCUCGUAUUCUUUUCCAGAUCGAUGGGUUCAGUAGAUGUUUGUCCAUUUGCCUUCUUGUCAGACUUUGCUGCUGGAAUUGGAUAGUCUCCCUUUUUUAUUACACGCCAAACUUUGACAUCAUAGGAUUUCGUAUAGAUUUCUAUGCGAACCUUCCAUUGUGAAAAGCGUUUUUCAUUGAAGUAUGGAGGCCUUACUUGUGAACUCCCUUCUUGAAAUAGAGCUCCGACAAUUACUUGCUUUGACAUGAUCUUUUCUCACUAGUUGUUAAGCAAAAUCAAAAUGCGAGACCUGCCUUGAUACCAAUUGAAAGUAGAAUGGGGGAGGGGGGUGAAUUGUUGAUUUUUCUUUUUAUAGGUAAGUAGUUGACUAGUUUACCAAUUAGUCAACUAGAGAUAGAUACAAGGCAAAAACUAAAUGCUGAAUGUAAAGUGCAGAAUUUAAAUGACACCAGAUAUUUUUAUAUUGGUGAGGAUUCAAUGUGAAUCCUACUCCAGUUCCCUUAGUUUGCAAGAGGGUUAUCUCUUCAAAGCUCCUUGAAAACUGGGUACACGUAUGUUGAUGUUAUCACGAACACCAAAUGUCGUUUUGGUUCUAAGUACACUUAAUUUGAUAUAAUGCUUCACCAAUAUUUUUUUCUCUUACACAGUAAAUCACACUUAGAUUACAAUGCUUGUUAGAGUAGAACAAAGAGCACAAAGUUGGUUUGAUCAAAGUAUAUCUCUUCUCUUGAUCGUCUCACUGUAUAUGUACUUUGAGGGCGCUGCUUUCAUUCUUGAUUAUGGCAGAUCUUGAGAGACUACAGACUCAAGGGAAUUGAUCUUUGGAAUGAAUUGUAAAAUGAUUUUUUCCAAGAAUAAGUGUUGAGCUUCCGUUAAUUUUGCCUUGGCUUGUGGUCUUGAUAGAGCUUCCCAUCGUUGAGCAGAUCCUUUCUUCAUUCGAACAGCGUGAAGUAUAUAGAUCCUUUGAUUUCGGGAGUUAGGCAUCUUCCUUUGAUAGGUGAAUCUUCAGUUAGAUAUAUCAAGCGAAUUCUAAGCAAUCUCGAUUUCCUCUGCUUUUGGUCAUUCCUUUAAUAUCUUCCUUUCAAACGGGUUGUCCGAUCUAAAAAAACCUUUCUCUCACUUUUUGUUACUCCUUCCUUUCCUGUCUUCCUUUGCGCAUAUUUGACAAUCUUCCUUUCCUUUGCUCCUGGAGUGUCCCUACAAUAAUCAAGGAUGUGUUAUUUUUCAUCAUUAAAAUGCGAGUCUAACAUAUACUUCCAGAUCUACCUCGUUUUAUACCAGUACAAAUCAAGUUAAUUAGACUAGCAAUAUGAGAAAAUAACUUGAUAUGCUAUAGUACAAAUUUUCAGUAAGGCAAUUAAAGAACAUAGAAAUAACUGGUUUUAUAUUUUCCAGCUGAAUGAGAAAACUGAUUGGUUUGUGAAAGUGAGGUUUCCGAGCAUGAGGUCUAUUCUAAGUCACUUAAAGAAUGUCACUAGAUAUACGUGUCCAGAUCUUGAUGCAUGUGCAUGCAAGUCCGUACGGGACUAGGUCUGACCAGUGAACUGCUUCUCGUCAAGUUCCUCCUGAUCAGGUAUAUGCAUCUUCUGUUUUUCUGGAUGCUGGUGAACUCGGCUUCUCAACCUAUUGUUUCGAGGGAUAGCCUCUCCUAGUCUGACGUCAGUGGACCACUCAAGUUUCUACGGGGACAUGAAGCGAGCAAUAAUAUGAAGUCUUCCACACAAGAAGAUGAAAUUCCACAGGUGAAAAUAGAGGAAGGACGCGGGGGUGAAGAAUCAGAAAAUGAAAUCGGUGAUAAAGCAAUAAAGCAAGAAGAUAGAAGAAAAAAGUGAUGAUGAGGAAGAAAAGAUGCAACAGUGUAGGCCAACAUGAAUAGAAAGAGAAAAGAUAUACUCCGUACUAGCUAGCUUAAUAUAUACAUACUGCAAAAAAGGCAAAAUUUGCAUGGGCUAGUACGUAUCCCGAUUUCGGAGCCUAUCUUGAAGGCACAGGUGUGGAUGCAUGCGCAUUAGAGAUCCUGACUUGGUUGAUCAUAUGCUCGAGAACAUUGAUGGUUAUCUUUUUCCUGGAG
rnacentral:lncRNA from 1 species